UACGAAGGGGGCUAGCGUUGCUCGGAAUCACUGGGCGUAAAGCGCACGUAGGCGGCUUUCUAAGUCAGGGGUGAAAUCCUGGAGCUCAACUCCAGAACUGCCUUUGAUACUGGAGAGCUUGAGUCCGGGAGAGGUGAGUGGAACUCCGAGUGUAGAGGUGAAAUUCGUAGAUAUUCGGAAGAACACCAGUGGCGAAGGCGGCUCACUGGCCCGGUACUGACGCUGAGGUGCGAAAGCGUGGGGGAGCAAACAGG
rnacentral:rRNA from 1 species